UUUUGUUCCUUUUUCAGUAUAUUUCAGUAAUUCCUGAUACAAAUUUAAAGCACUUGCUUGCGGUCCCCUUGAGUAGCUUUCAACUGUCUAUUGUGGUCAUCUUCAACUCUCUCUCUCUCCCUCUCUCUGUCUAUCUCUCUCUUUCAGCUGGAACAAUCUUCUCCAGUUGAUGCAUGGCAGGACAUCAACUUGGGGCUUCACUUGCGCACAGCUUAGCUAUACAAAAGUUUUUCCUGUGUAAUGCUUCAGAUGCAUCUAAGCGUUGAAAUUGAGGGACCAAUUUUAUAAAAAAAAUUCCACCUCAAUCAGGUUCCAAAUUAAUCUGAGCCAGGCGAAUGAACAUGACACAAGGUCCCGGUAUGUAGACGAAAUGGUUUGAACCUCAAAUCGGUAAACGACAACUUUCCUAUUUUAUAAGUUUUCAAAGAUUAUAUUAGUAUAUGCAUGAUCAGUGACUUUAAUAUUCUAUUCAAUAAAGAAUAGAGAAUGCCCAUGGGAGAAAUGACAAACUUUGUUUGAACAUUAAAAAAAAAAAUAAAAGAAGCGUAUUGUUUUGAC
rnacentral:lncRNA from 1 species